AAACAGUCAUAUGCUAGGACAGCCGAACAAUAUUGCUAAUUUGUUACAGGGUAAAAUGGAUGCUAUGCACAAGCUGAAGAUUUUGGUGAUGUUUCUGUCUCUGGCUACUUUCAUGGUCAUGGUGAUACUGAAUGCUGGAAAUGCCACUGGGAUUUUCAAAGGUCUGUUCAGAACAACCCCUGGAAACAUCUCAGCGAAGUACAACACUGACUUCACACCAGCUGGCUGGACUUUCCUCAUCUGGAAUGUCAUCUAUGCUUGGCAUCUUGUCUGGCUUCUCUACGCCUUGUCAGGGAUCUGUCGAAGGAAUGAACUUGGAUGUGUCUACAUAAAGCCAGACUUGCUGCCAAUACCUUUUUAUGUGGUGUGGAUUCUGAAUAACAGCCUCAAUGUUGGAUGGCUGUUUCUGUGGGACCGAGAAUACCUCCUCCCAGCCCUGGUGUUCCUGGCAGCCCUCACUUUUACCACAUGUGCCUGCCUCUUCAUUUCGCACCAAGCCUUGAGCAUGCAUUCCUCUUGGCUUGUGAAGGGUCACAAAGCUGAGCUCUGGCUCAUCCGCAUCCUGGUCCAGAAUGGGCUGGCACUGUAUGCAACAUGGACCAGCAUUGCCACUCUGCUGAACUUUGCAGUUGUGUUGAUCUACAAGUGGAAUGCCUCCAAUGAGACAGCAACAACAGCUUCCCUAAGCAUCCUUGCUCUUGUCCUGGUAAUAUGGUUUUAUCUAGAAAAUUUCUUUCUUGACAAGCAUGUCCGCUAUAACCUUACAAUCUACCCAGUGGUCAUAAUAGCUCUGACUGGUAGCACAUGCAAGAACUUCUCAUUUUCAUCCCCAACAACGAAUAGCAUUUUUAUAGUUGUUCUGCUGGCAAUUACUUGCUUGAUCUUUGCUGUUCGGCUGGGACUAAUCAUAUGGAGACACUGUAAGAGACCACUGGAAGUGUCAGAAACCCUAGACCCAUCAGGCACUGUGGCCUGAGACAUCUGGCAUGUUGUGGCAGAUACUUUUAAAGGGAGAAAAAAGAAUUUUGGCAUCUACUGAUCUGUCCUUCCAUUAUCAGUUGCCUUGUGCUCUUCUGUUUCUUUCCAUUUGAAAUGUGGAUGGCUUGUGUUUGAAAACCUGUCCUGCACCCAUAUUCCUUCAGAUAAGCUACUCACAGCCCCACCUUGAAUCUGCAUCCUCCUUCAUUUGCUCAGUGCAGGAAAAGGUCUUUCAGCUGAACAACUCUCUGCACCUUUGUGACAACUGAGCUGUGGUGCUCUGGCCCUGCCACUGCAAUGAGGGCUAACAGGCACUUGGCAUGCUUGCACAGACAUUCCUAUGUAUGAUUUAGACUGCACUUUAAGUUUAAGUGAGCUGUACCUGGGAGUCAAGGUGAGCAGUGGGAGGUCUAGCAUUCCUUUGGCCAUGCAGGGUAUCUGCAGGCAGCGAUGGCUCCUGUUCCUGCUUCUCUUCACCCUGAUGGGGACAGAUACUACAACUCUAGAGAUCUACCUUUGUUGGUGUCAGUUCUGAUGUUUGUCCAAGGUGAGGAGGAGGAGUGACUGAAUACUUCUGGCACAAUUACAAGCCUUCAACCUAUUUCAGCUUGUAGCUCUGGAAACUGAAGACACAUUCACUUUUCAGCAUACAGUAAGGUAGUUGGGUGUCUGCCCUCUUUUUUUCCUGACUUUCUCAGCUAAGUUAGUCACUGUCAGCACCCCUGUGGACCCAUAAUAACAGCAGAUGUAUGUAGUUCCUGCUCUGCCUGUAAGACAGAGGAGACUUGGGUCAGGCAGGAGCAGUGGGUUGCCUUUCCCUGAGCUGUGGGGAGUGAGAAGCUUGCAGUUUGUGCUGGAGGGUGGUUUGUAGCCACUCUGGCAGGAGGUAAGAUGUACAGAUGAGGUGAUACCUGAUCUGGGGUAAAGCCUGCUGUUUAAGGAGGGAAAAAAAAAUUAUUUGAACCAGUAGUGUGAGUUCAUCCUGGAUCAGUGUUUUCUCAUGUGGCUUCACCACUUCUGAGUUGGUAUUAGGAAGCCUAAAAGUGGAUUAACUGAACUGUUGGACCACUGCCUAUUUCCUGUGCCUAUUUGAUAAUUGGUGAUGCACCACUGGUGCCUGGAAAGUGUUUCUAUAUAACAGGUGCUUUCAGAAGCUGAAUAUCUUGCAAUAUUAUUACAAAGGUAGAUUCUUCUAAAAGAACCUUUUGUUUACAAUUUAACAAAUAACAAACAUAAUUCUUUAUAUUUACAAAGAACAAAAUUGGUGUAAUGCAAUUCCUGUUGUAAUUCUCUUGUGUUGUCUUAUUUUCAAAUAAAUCAGCUCAUUCCAUCA
rnacentral:lncRNA from 1 species